rnacentral:tRNA from 1 species
GUCUUGUAAACCGGACGCCAGGGGUUAAAGUCCCCUCUACUGCU